UACGUAGGGUGCGAGCGUUGUCCGGAAUUAUUGGGCGUAAAGAGCUUGUAGGCGGUUUGUCGCGUCUGCCGCGAAAGCCCAGGGCUUAACCCUGGGUCUGCGGUGGGUACGGGCAGACUAGAGUGUGGUAGGGGAGACUGGAAUUCCUGGUGUAGCGGUGAAAUGCGCAGAUAUCAGGAGGAACACCGAUGGCGAAGGCAGGUCUCUGGGCCACUACUGACGCUGAGAAGCGAAAGCAUGGGGAGCAAACAGG
rnacentral:rRNA from 1 species